rnacentral:rRNA from 1 species
GACGAACGCUGGCGGCGUGCUUAACACAUGCAAGUCGAACGGAAAGGCCCUGCUUUUGUGGGGUGCUCGAGUGGCGAACGGGUGAGUAACACGUGAGUAACCUGCCCUUGACUUUGGGAUAACUUCAGGAAACUGGGGCUAAUACCGGAUAGGAGCUCCUGCUGCAUGGUGGGGGUUGGAAAGUUUCGGCGGUUGGGGAUGGACUCGCGGCUUAUCAGCUUGUUGGUGGGGUAGUGGCUUACCAAGGCUUUGACGGGUAGCCGGCCUGAGAGGGUGACCGGCGACAUUGGGACUGAGAUACGGACCAGACUCCUACGGGAGGCAGCAGUGGGGAGUAUUGCACAAUGGGCGGGAGCGUGAUGCAGCGACGCCGCGUGCGGGAUGACGGCCUUCGGGUUGUAAACCGCUUUCGCCUGUGACGAAGCGUGAGUGACGGUAAUGGGUAAAGAAGCACCGGCUAACUACGUG